AGACACAUUUUUGCCAGAUAUACUUGGUAAAUGGCUGUGGUAAAUGUACUUUGGGGCCCGCCCAAGUAAAGUCAAUGUGUGGGAAACACUGCUUUGUGCAUUUCAUUGUCAUCGCUCUGUCAUUGUGUCAGUACAAGAUGCUCCAGACCAAAUCAACAGCUCUUCUCCUCACACAGGAGUCAAUGUUAAGAUGAAAGCUGACAGAAGUGCAACUGUACUUGUCCCUGUACUUAACAACAGCUACAUAGGAUCAUUAUACAUCAACAAUGUGCAAACUGUGCAGAGCAACAAGAGUCCUCAAAGACAGCAGCAAAACAUACUGUAAAACAAGUGGAUUUAGAGCAUUUUUGUCACAAAGUCACAAAGCCAACAUGAAAGACAAAGUACAGCGCAUUUUUUAUGUCAAAAAGGAAGAAGAAACAUAUCUGAAGGAUGUUUAAACAGAG